AUGCCAUGUGUAGUCUGCCAUGGAUCCAACAAGGUUGGGCUCAAGCACAUGCAGCACGCACGCUCUGCUCUUGGGAAAGGAGUUUGUUCUUUCUUUUCUUGCUGUUCAUCUCGGAGCUGUGCAGGCAUGCGAUGCUGCUGGAACCAGCGUUCCCUGAUGUUGGAACCAUUAAUCCUUUUUGCUACCACAAGCGUUUGGUUUUGCUGGAACCAAUACUCUUUUUUGCCACCACAGAUGUUUUGUUUUGCUACCACUGACUUUCUGGUUUGCUGGAACGAGCUUGUUUUUUUGCUACAUCCAUGUUUUUUUACUUUUCCUGGGGGACAACUUCCAUUUUUGUUUUCCAAUAUUUUGCUACCACUGUUUUCUUAUUUUACGGGAUACAAUGCAAUAUUUUGCUACAAUCGGGUGGAUGGGAGCUGCGUCAUCAGUUCUUUGCUGGAACCGGCAACACAUGCAUAUAGCUACUACCGGCGAUUUGUUUUGCUUCAACAGCUAUGGGACCUAGAGAGUUUUGCUGGAACCAAAUUUCUUCAUGAGGUGUGGCGGCGAGAUGCAUUUUUUAGUUUUUAUGCUGCAUUUUGUUCUUUUUUGCUGGAACCAUCAUUUGAUUUUGCUACAAUGAGCAUUUGA
rnacentral:rRNA from 1 species